rnacentral:rRNA from 1 species
AUUGAACGCUGGCGGAAUGCUUUACACAUGCAAGUCGAACGGCAGCAUAGGUGCUUGCACCUGAUGGCGAGUGGCGAACGGGUGAGUAAUACAUCGGAACGUGCCCAGUCGUGGGGGAUAACGUAGCGAAAGUUACGCUAAUACCGCAUACGAUCUACGGAUGAAAGCGGGGGACCGUAAGGCCUCGCGCGAUUGGAGCGGCCGAUGUUAGAUUAGGUAGUUGGUGGGGUAAAGGCUCACCAAGCCGACGAUCUAUAGCUGGUCUGAGAGGAUGAUCAGCCACACUGGGACUGAGACACGGCCCAGACUCCUACGGGAGGCAGCAGUGGGGAAUUUUGGACAAUGGGCGCAAGCCUGAUCCAGCCAUUCCGCGUGCAGGACGAAGGCCUUCGGGUUGUAAACUGCUUUUGUACAGAACGAAAAGCCUUGGGUUAAUACCCUGAGGUCAUGACGGUACUGUAAGAAUAAGCACCGGCUAACUACGUGA